AUUGAACGCUGGCGGCAGGCCUAACACAUGCAAGUCGAACGGUAACAGGAAACAGCUUGCUGUUUCGCUGACGAGUGGCGGACGGGUGAGUAAUGUCUGGGAAACUGCCUGAUGGAGGGGGAUAACUACUGGAAACGGUAGCUAAUACCGCAUAACGUCGCAAGCCCAAAGAGGGGGACCUUCGGGCCUCUUGCCAUCGGAUGUGCCCAGAUGGGAUUAGCUAGUAGGUGGGGUAACGGCUCACCUAGGCGACGAUCCCUAGCUGGUCUGAGAGGAUGACCAGCCACACUGGAACUGAGACACGGUCCAGACUCCUACGGGAGGCAGCAGUGGGGAAUAUUGCACAAUGGGCGCAAGCCUGAUGCAGCCAUGCCGCGUGUAUGAAGAAGGCCUUCGGGUUGUAAAGUACUUUCAGCGGGGAUGAAGGGAGUAAAGUUAAUACCUUUGCUAAUUGACGUUACCCGCAGAAGAAGCACCGGCUAACUCCGUG
rnacentral:rRNA from 1 species